GUAAACUGAAUUUCUCUGUUUCAUCAAGUAUAUAGAAAGUAUAUUUGUUCUGGGUCUGUAAAUGCACUGUUGAUGUGAGGCCAAAGUUAACAGCUUUCUUUCCAUUUUAGAAUGGUUUCUUCUAAAUUAUAUCCUUGCUGCAUUUGUGUCUGCUGUAGCUCUGGUUGUAGCUCUCGUGAGUGUGAUGUACUUUCUCUGCAGAAAAUGCAGAAGAGCGGCACAAAAAAGAAAUGGUUUUGAACCUACAGUGGAAACAUUCCAGACAGAAUAUGUAGUAGUACAAUAUGCUGAAACAGGAUUUUUAAUACAAAAUAAGAAAAAAGAGAGUUAAUGGGACAGAGGAAGCAGUAUACUCCAGAGUUGUCACGCGUCGCUGAUCAAACUGUCUCACUACAGCAUUUACAUGUCUGGAUUUGACUUCUAA